UACAGAGGGUGCGAGCGUUGUCCGGAAUCACUGGGCGUAAAGGGCGCGUAGGCGGCCUGAUAAGUAGGGGGGUGAAAUCCUGUGGCUUAACUGCAGGGCUGCCUCCUAGACUGUUAGGCUCGAGCACGGUAGAGGCAGAUGGAAUUCCCGGUGUAGCGGUGGAAUGCGUAGAGAUCGGGAAGAACAUCGGUGGCGAAGGCGGUCUGCUGGGCCGUUGCUGACGCUGAGGCGCGACAGCGUGGGGAGCAAACAGG
rnacentral:rRNA from 1 species